GCCAGACUCCUACGGGAGGCAGCAGUGGGGAAUAUUGCACAAUGGGGGAAACCCUGAUGCAGCAACGCCGCGUGAGUGAAGAAGUUAUUCGUGGUGUAAAGCUCUAUCAGCAGGGAAGAAAAUGACGGUACCUGAGUAAGAAGCCCCGGCUAACUACGUGCCAGCAGCCGCGGUAAUACGUAGGGGGCAAGCGUUAUCCGGAUUUACUGGGUGUAAAGGGAGCGUAGACGGCCAGACAAGUCUGAAGUGAAAAUCCAGCGCUUAACGUUGGAAGUGCUUUGGAAACUGCCGGGCUAGAGUGCAGGAGGGGCAGGCGGAAUUCCUAGUGUAGCGGUGAAAUGCGUAGAUAUUAGGAGGAACACCAGUGGCGAAGGCGGCCUGCUGGACUGCAACUGACGUUGAGGCUCGAAGGCGUGGGGAGCAAACAGGAUUAGAUACCCCUGUA
rnacentral:rRNA from 1 species